UACGUAGGGGGCGAGCGUUGUCCGAAUUUACUGGGCGUAAAGCGCGUGUAGGCGGCUCUUUAAGUGAGAUGUGAAAUCCCGUGGCUCAACCACGGAACUGCAUUUCAAACUGGAGGGCUUGAAUUUGGGAGAGGAAAGUGGAAUUCCUGGUGUAGCGGUGAAAUGCGUAGAUAUCAGGAGGAACACCCGUGGCGAAGGCGGCUUUCUGGCCCAACAUUGACGCUGAGACGCGAAAGCCAGGGGAGCGAACGGGAUUAGAUACCCCGGUAGUCCUGGCCGUAAACGAUGGAUACUAGGUGUAAGUGGUAUCGACCCCACUUGUGCCGUAGCUAACGCAUUAAGUAUCCCGCCUGGGGAGUACGGCCGCAAGGUUGAA
rnacentral:rRNA from 1 species